rnacentral:rRNA from 1 species
GUGUCAGCAGCCGCGGUAAGACGAACCGUGCAAACGUUGUUCGGAAUCACUGGGCUUAAAGGGCGCGUAGGCGGACAAGCAAGUCGAAGGUGAAAUCCCACGGCCCAACCGUGGAAGUGCCCCCGAUACUACUUGUCUUGAGGGAGACAGGGGCGUGCGGAACUUCCGGUGGAGCGGUGAAAUGCGUAGAUAUCGGAAGGAACACCGGUGGCGAAAGCGGCACGCUGGAUCUCUUCUGACGCUGAGGCGCGAAAGCCAGGGGAGCAAACGGGAUUAGAUACCCCGGUAGUCCUGGCCCUAAACGUUGGGUACUAGGUAGUGGACUUACAUGGGUUCACUGCCGAAGCAAAAGUGUUAAGUACCCCGCCUGGGGAGUAUGGUCGCAAGGCUGAA